rnacentral:rRNA from 1 species
UACGGGGGGGGCAAGCGUUGUUCGGAAUUACUGGGCGUAAAGGGCGCGUAGGCGGCCUGCUAAGUCGGAUGUGAAAUCCCUCGGCUCAACCGAGGAACUGCGUCCGAUACUGGCAGGCUUGAAUCCGGGAGAGGGAUGCGGAAUUCCAGGUGUAGCGGUGAAAUGCGUAGAUAUCUGGAGGAACACCGGUGGCGAAGGCGGCAUCCUGGACCGGCAUUGACGCUGAGGCGCGAAAGCCAGGGGAGCAAACGGG